GGCAGUUGGGUGUUUCUUGGAAAGAUCACUCCCCGUUGCUUUUCCCAUCUUUGCUUUUCCCAUCCUUUGCUUUUCCCAUCCUUCGCUCCUCCAUCCGCGGCCGUUACCCCAGCCCUCGAGCACCAGAAAUAGAAACUCGGAGGCUGGCGUCGAGGCUAGACAUGGACUCCGCGCCUGGCCCCUUCCAGAUCCCAGUUUUCUAAAGUGACUUCGCACCAAAGUCCGGGCUCCCUAAUUUAUGCGUUUUUAGACCCUUAAGCAUCAUUUUGUGGGCAACCAAACGGGCACUUCCAAAUUAGCUCAAAGUAUCCAAGCCCAGAGAAGAGAGAAAACACACAUACACUGAUAAAUACGCAGAUGCUAACUUGUAAGUAUUCUGUUUUUCCUCUGUGGGGAUGGAAAUUGAACAAGGGAAAGAGGGGGAACAUUUUUAUUUCCUAAAAUGUUUCCUACUGAGUUUGCACUUGUAAAGUUUUUUCUGCUUUCUUUCCCUUUGUGUGUGUUCUUACUCUCUUUCUCUCAGUAAAUAUCUCUGACUUAAGUUUAUUCUCCCAUCACUACCGUGAUCAAAAAGAAGAGAAAGACAAAAUAUCAAAACUUCCAAAUAUUUCUAGUUGUUCGCAACGGGUCUUUUUGUUGUUGUUGGAAAAAUAUAACCUGUUCAAGCGAUAUGAAAAUGGAUGCAGAAAUCAGAAAAGGGUGUGUGGAAUCGAUUUAAGUUUAACCUGACAGUACAUGUCUUGAAGGUCUUUUAUGAACUUGAAACACAUCGGCUAGGUCUUCAUCCUCACCUGCACUGGAAUUACCUACUUAAGAAAAACAAACUAAUGAUACACAAAGAAGCACUUAUGUAUGUAUUUAAACACUUGCUGGGAUCCUUCUGAAAACUACAGUUUGAAUUUUACGUUUCCGGUUUAGUUUAAAUUGUAUUGUUUACUUGUAUGUAUUAGCUUAAAUAAAAUAAUAGUCAUUUCAAAUGUUUCUCAGAGACAACAGGGUAAGUAAAAAAUAGUUGUGUUAUGACAUCUGUGAAUAUAAAAGUUAUUUGUGGCCCAUUAUAUUUUAUUUUUCAAGUUCAAACGUAUUUCAAAUAUGAAACGCAUUAUCAUAAUCUCCAUAUUGAUUAGUUGUCCAAGUUGAAAAGUGUUUACAAUUUUAAUUUUUUCCAGAUGAUUAUUACUCUGUUUUCAGGCUAUAAAUUUCAUCUCAUGUAAUUUUCUUUGUAGAACUUUGACAUAGCAGUUAACAUCAAGUGGUUGUACUACAAUUUUUGCUUAUUUUGUUUUUCAACUGCAUUGGGUCCUGUUAUAAGUGCAUAUACAUCUGGAAUGCUUCCAUCUUUAAAUUAAAAGCACUUUAUCACAUCUGAAGGUUCUCUGCAGAGAGUCACUUUCUGACUGCUUAGGAACUUGAUAAGCCAAAUAGUAUUCCAUCACUGUAGGUAAACAGUUCUGGGAAAGAAAAAUCUACAGUCUUUGACAAUUCUUCCUGUCAAUUGUUUGUACCUCAUUCUAGAAAUUACAUAUCUUCAUGCCGGAAACACUAUUUGGAUGCGUGUGGAUGAUUCUGAAAAUUGAUAUAGUCUGAAGGAUGUAUAUGUACAUUUAUAUAUAGA
rnacentral:lncRNA from 1 species